rnacentral:rRNA from 1 species
GAUGAACGCUGGCGGCGUGCUUAAUACAUGCAAGUCGAACGAAGCACCUUGGACAGAAUCCUUCGGGAGGAAGACCAUUGUGACUGAGUGGCGGACGGGUGAGUAACGCGUGGGUAACCUGCCUUGUACAGGGGGAUAACAGUUGGAAACGACUGCUAAUACCGCAUAAGCGCACAGUACCGCAUGGUACGGUGUGAAAAACUCCGGUGGUACAAGAUGGACCCGCGUUUGAUUAGCUAGUUGGUGAGGUAACGGCCCACCAAGGCGACGAUCAGUAGCCGACUUGAGAGAGUGAUCGGCCACAUUGGGACUGAGACACGGCCCAAACUCCUACGGGAGGCAGCAGUAGGGAAUAUUGCACAAUGGGGGAAACCCUGAUGCAGCGACGCCGCGUGAAGGAAGAAGUAUUUCGGUAUGUAAACUUCUAUCAGCAAGGAAGAAAAUGACG